AUUUUUUUUUUUCGAAUUAUACUAUUUCGAAAUUCAAACCCUAAACCCUAAAACUUAAAUCUAAACCCUAAACCAUCAAUCCUAAACCCUAUUUCGUUUUGAAAUACGCUCUAGACCCUGAAACAUCAACUCUAAACCCUAAACUCCAAAACAUCAAUUCUAAACCCUAAACCCUAAACCUUCAACUCUAAACCCUAAAAGAUCAACUCUAAACCCUAAACCCUAAACUUCAACUCUAAACCCUAAACCAUCAACACUAAACCCUAAACUAUCAACACUAAACCCUAAACCCUAAAAAGUAAACUCUAAACCCUAAAAAAUUAACCCUAAACCCUAAACUCUAAACCCUAAACCCUAAACUCUAAAACUCUAGAGUUGAUGUUUUAGGGUUUAGAUUUGAAGGUUUAGAGUUUUAGGGUUUAGGGUUUACGUUUAGGGUUUAGAGUUGAUGUUU
rnacentral:lncRNA from 1 species